GGCAGUGGUAGCUCAGUAGUUAAGGCUUUGGUCUACUGAUCAGAAGGUUGUGAGUUCAAGUCUCAGCACUGCCA